AGUCGAACGGCAGCGCGGGGCAACCUGGCGGCGAGUGGCGAACGGGUGAGUAAAAUAUCGGAACAUACCCUAGAGUGGGGGAUAACGUAGCGAAAGUUACGCUAAUACCGCAUACGCACUAAGGUGGAAAGUGGGGGAUCGCAAGACCUCAUGCUCAUGGAGUGGCUGAUAUCUGAUUAGCUAGUUGGUAGGGUAAAAGCCUACCAAGGCGACGAUCAGUAGCUGGUUUGAGAGAACGACCAGCCACACUGGAACUGAGACACGGUCCAGACUCCUACGGGAGGCAGCAGUGGGGAAUUUUGGACAAUGGGGGCAACCCUGAUCCAGCAAUGCCGCGUGAGUGAAGAAGGCCCUCGGGUUGUAAAGCUCUUUUGUCAGGGAAGAAACGGUGAGUUCUAAUACAGCUUGCUAAUGACGGUACCUGAAGAAUAAGCACCGGCUAACUACGUGCCAGCAGCCGCGGUAAUACGUAGGGUGCAAGCGUUAAUCGGAAUUACUUGGCGUAAAGCGUGCGCAGGCGGUUUUAUAAGUCUGAUGUGAAAUCCCCGGGCUCAACCUGGGAACUGCAUUGGAGACUGUAAGGCUAGAGUGUGUCAGAGGGGGGUAGAAUUCCACGUGUAGCAGUGAAAUGCGUAGAUAUGUGGAGGAAUACCGAUGGCGAAGGCAGCCCCCUGGGAUAACACUGACGCUCAUGCACGAAAGCGUGGGGAGCAAACAGGAUUAGAUACCCUGGUAGUCCACGCCCUAAACGAUGU
rnacentral:rRNA from 1 species